rnacentral:tRNA from 1 species
GGAGGGUUAACCCUAAGUUGGUAAGGGCGCGGUCUUGAAAACCGUUUGCGCACUCGGUGCGCCUGAGAGUUCGAGUCUCUCACCCUCCUCCA